UACAAGUGAUGCUAAGUGCUGUGAGGAAGUUUACAGGGUGACAGGAGAGACAACAAGAGGAGGGACCUACUCAGAGAGGGUGGUAUGGGACAGACUCUCUGUACAGGUGACAUUACGCUAAACCCAGAAGGAUGAGGAGGAGCCAUGCAGAAUGUAGCUGAGCUGGGGAUGCACUCUAGCAAGAAGCGAUGUGACAAAGGCCCUGAGACCUGAAAGGGGCAAUGCUGGAAUGGAAAAUAGGAAUUGGAAAACGGGAGGUGGAUAUGGGACAUGUUGUAGCUGAGGGGCCAGUGGGCACCCAGAAGAAGAUACCAAGGCAGUUCUGGAAACACAGGACUUGAGCUCAGAAGAGAGGAUUGCCUGCAUGGAGGAGAUAAGGGAAGCAAUGCAUUUGGCAGGAUUGCCCAGGGGAGUGAUCUAAGAUACACAGACACAUAAGACAUAGAAGCUGAACCAAAAGAUCCCCGGGGUGUGCAGGGUCAGCCCCGGGAGUCCUCAGCCCCACACCACCCUCUCUGAGUAGGUCCCUCCUCUUGUUGUCUCUCCUGUCACCCUGUAAACUUCCUCACAGCACUUAGCAGCAGCCUGUGAACUGAGGAGCAGAAUUGUGAAUUGAGGUAGUGGAGGACAGAGAGCCUGACAACAGGAGUUCCUGUGGGGAUUUCAAGGCUGAAGAUGAUCAGAGAGGGGGCAACACCAAGGUAGGGAAUGAGAUCAGGUAGCAACAUUCAGUUCACCCCAAAUCAUAUCCAUUGCACAAGAGCAUGGGCAGCCUGGUGCCAGCAAGAGCCAAGGAUGGAGCCUUAGGAAACAAAAGGAGGGAGGGCCUGGGGACAGAUGCUCCCCAGGCUGAAGCGGAUACAGACGGCCCUGCUGGUGAAGAACACAAACCGGAAUUCCCUAUUUCAGCUGUUUUGUAUGAAAGCUAGUGCUGCCCAAGUCAAAAUGCAUGAUGUGUUCAGAGAAAAUGCUGACCUUCUGUUCUCCCACAAGUGAGCUGAGCAGGGAUAGAGAACGGAGUUGCUCUGGAGAAGUCUACAACAAAAUUAAUGGCUCAGAAAGGCUGAGUGUGAUGACAGCUGCUUUUCCUCAGUUUUCUUUCCUGGACUUGAGACACUUUCUUUUCCCGUAAGACUUGCUGGUUGUUGCUAAAGGGCAACACAACACAUGCAAACUUUUAAAUUUGCGAGAAUCAGAAACAGAAAUUCCUCUUUGGAACACUGCUGCAGAUGACGGCAAAGCCAAGAUGCUGUGGGACUCCCUGAAGAGGAGAUGUACCAAAACUCUGCGUCCUUAGAAGACAGCCCACUUCAUGCAGUGUUUUUGGGUAUCCACAGCAGCCUAACAAAAACGGCAGCCGAGGCCUUUCAGUUAAAGCCGCUGAUGCACAGCCCGUAAUUUCCAUAGUCCCUCUAGCUGUAGAAGCUUCUCUCUACACCAACAAUGCAGGUCAAGAAUCUGAACUUAAAUGACUGAUUUUGCCACGUUUUCUACUUUCACUUGGUAAUUCUUACAGAAACCGAAAAAAACAAUUUCACUAAGUGCUUCAUUUAUCUGUAUCUACACGUGGACUUAGGAGGGUCCUCUCAGUACAUAAAAUAUCUUUUUUUUUUUUGGUGAGGAAGAUUGUUGCUGAGCUAACAUCCAUGACAGUCUUCCUCCAUUUUGCACGUGGGUCAGUCGCCACCACAGCACGGCUUGAUGAGCAAUGUGUAGGUCCGUGCCUGGGAUCCAAACUCAUGAACCCUGGGCAACCAAAGUGGAGCACCUAAACUCAACCAUUACGCCACCGGGCAGCCCCAAAAUAUCUUAAAAUUAUAAUACCCUAUUUUAAGCUGAUAACAACUUAACUUCAACAGAAUUCCUAAACUUCACAUUUUUACUUCUCCCUCUCACAUUUUAGGUUAUUAUUGUUACAAUUUACAUAUUUUUAAUAUUGUGUAACUAAUAACACAUUAUUGUAGUUACAGCUACUUUUACUACAUUCCUUUUUUUUUUUACUUUUAAACUACAGUUCUAAUGAAUUAUGCACCGCUUCCAUAUAAGAGAAUCUAACUUGGCUGUAUACUUACCAUCACCAAUAAGAUUUACGUACCUUUUUACGUUUUUAUGAUGUUACUGAAAGUUUGGUCUCUGAUCCCGAUGCCAAUCCAAGUAAAGAGAACUGAGUCUUGGGAGAAAAAGGAAAGGCUUUACUUUGCCAGGCAGAGGGAGCAAAGCAAGGGCCAGUGCCCCAAAAGUUGCUGGCUCUCUAUUAAGAAAUGGGUAAGGGUUUUCAUUUGGGGUUUUCGGUAGGGGAGGGGGCCGUGGUCUUCUUGGUCAGCGUUUUCCCAUGGGCCUGUGUCUGGGCUGCUUCCAGGGAGACAGGAUUUUUCAGCUGAGUGUCCUUGGCUGUUUAUCUCCAUGGUAGAAGGCAGACUCUGAGGUCAGGACGCCGAGGAGUGGGCCUGGGAAGCUUUGGUCUCUUGAUAUUCUUUGCACAUUAGUUUCUCUCUAAGAGAACUUCCAGGUCCUGGGAUUAGACACAACUUUGGUGGGAGCCCAGGGUGAGGCCACGUGGGCUUGAACAAUUUCUAACUUGUUUGGCCCUAUAGCUCAGGGAGUCAGAGGCUAAAAAAACAAGCAUUUACAUAUGAGCAUAAUCUAAGACCCAGGGACCUGGGAAUGUGUGUGUUUGGUUUUAACCCACAUGUGCCAGGUUCACCGUAGGGGAACUGAUAUCAGGGCUGAUAUCGACUGAGAACUGGGAACAAUGUCACCCGUUGUGGCCAGGGGAAGCUCAAGGUCAGCGGGCGGCUCCCCUCGCUCCAACAGGGUCUGCCCCUUCUGGGACUCUUAGCAGCAUCUCCUGUGAACAGCUGUCAGCUGUCCUCCUCCCAGGGCACAAAUCAGGAAGACUCCCAUCUAGCCAUCCGAAAGCCACUGUGUCAGUGGCGCCCACCCCAGAGCAACAUGUGCCAGGCCCAUAUUUCUCAGAAAUCUGUCGCUGGCUCAGCUCUGUCCUCUCAGCCCGGAGGACGGGAGUGGACACCACAGGCCCAGACUUCCAAGUCUGUCAGGGGCUCAGCGCCGUCCUCUCAGCCGGAGGACGGGAGUGGACACCACAGGCCCAGACUUCCAAGUCUGUCAGGGGCUCAGCGCCGUCCUCUCGGCCCGGAGGACAGGAGUGGACACCACAGGCCCGAACUUCCAAGUCUGUCAGGGGCUCAGGGGCCAUCCUCUCAGCCCGGAGGACGGGAGUGGACACCACAGGCCCAGACUUCCAAGUCUGUCGGGCUCAGGCCGUCCUCUCGCCCGGAGGACGGGAGUGGACACCACAGGCCCGAACUUCCAAGUCUGUCAGGGGCUCAGGGGCCAUCCACUCAGCCCGGAGGACGGAGCGCGGCCGCCCUUCCUCCCACGCCUCCUCAGGCCCCCGCCUACUGGGCAAGCCGACCCCGCGCAGUUCACCAGUUCAACGACCGCCAGGCUUCUCGGCCUCUGACCGAUGGGCCGUGGGAUCUACUAACGGGAACUGCUGCAAGAGAAACUGAGGCACGCCGAACGCUCUUCUGUUUGUUUGAGUAAAAACGACCCCAUCCGGCAGUGUCACGCGGAGACGCUGGGAUCACCGGCCAACAGGGGCUGGACACAGACUUCUGCCGAGAAGAGGCGACAUGAGGGAAGGAGGCGCGGGCGGCGCUGCCUCUGAGGCCGGGCUGGCUGUCGGCAGGCCGUCCUCGGUUCCCCGCGUUAACCCUGAGGCGCCCGCGGGCCAUCGGCACGGCAGCCACACUCGGAGGGCGCCCGGGAGCUGACGUAAGCACGUAACGCGGACGCGCCAGGCCGCGCUCCCUCGAAGGCCGGCAGGCCGCUGGAAGGUCGAGCGCCCCGCUCUCUAGCCCGCCCCAACUGGGGCCCGGGGGCCGGGCGCGCCUGCACACGGAGGGACAGCGGCUCUCGGACGGGACGGCGGCGCCUACUCACCGUGCCCAGCGCGCCAACCCAACAGGACCAAGUGCCCCCGCGGCGCUGGGGCCUGGCGGCGCCAGGCCGGGCCCCCGAGGCCGGCCUCGUGGAGGGGCGAGGAGCGGGGGCGCUGCCUCGGGAGCUCGCCCGGACGGCCCAGGGCCCGCCGCCCCAGGGGCUCGACUCCAGGCCCGCUGGAGGGCCUCGCCGCGGUGGACUCCGGGCGGGCUGCACCCAGGUGGGGCACAGCAGGACCUGGACCGGAAGCUGGGGCGCGAGGACGGGAGGCGGCCGCUCCGGGAAGGCCGCUAUCCUGAGGCGGCCAAGUGACCGGACGUGGGCCUCGUGCAGGGGUCAGUCGGAGCCUCCCUGGCACAGCAGAGGCCUCGAGGUGUGGGCAGGCGGCGGCUCACCGGAAGCUGGGCCAGAAGCUCCCUCCACAUGCCGCCGGAAUCCCAGCGGCCAAAGGGUGGGGGGCAUGGGAGGUGAUGACUGCUGGCUCUUAAAACUUCCCCACCCCGCCCCCCCACCCCCGCGCCGGAAGUGACGCACGUUACUCUGCUCGCCCCUCAUUGGCCAAGGGAAAUCAUGUGGCCACACCUUCCUUCAAAAGGGCAGCGCGGGCCGCCCAGCGCUCCUGGACCGGGUGGUGGUGAGGGCACCAGCGUCUGCCCACGUGCCUGCCCUGCCUGUUCAGCCUGGUGGGAAUCCCCGUCCAGGAGUGCAAGCCGGUGGGAACCAACUGCCUGCUCGAUUUACUUCAUCCUUGAAGUGCUGCCCGAUGGUAAAAGAUGAUCUGUAUCAGGAAGUCUGAGAUUUGACCCACGAUCAGCUUUUUCACAAGCGUGCCAGAUGAUGUUGUGGAAGUGGCUUUAAGACGACACUGUGAGAAGUGCCGCCUUAGCAUGCAGUCUCAGGUGUGGGCAUUUGCACUUUAACAAGGCCCAGAGCCUCAGAUUAAAGGAGCAAAGUUGGUGUCCAUUUCUGGCUGCUUGGUGGGCUAGAGACCGUGAUCAAUUCUACUACUGGAAACAAUGAAAAACCCUGGAUAAAAUGUCUUUUAGCAUCUUUUUAAAUUUAUUGAUGAGCUGUCCAGAAAGCAAGAUAUUCUCUGAGGCUGAAAAACCUAAAUUUAAAGCAAGAAGCCAGAAGGGUAACCAGAUCACUUAUGUUGGCUUUUGCCCUGAGGAUUUGCCAAACCCAGGAAAACUGAGUCUCACUUUUCAUUCCGCAAAGCGUCCCGGGAGGAAGAGAGAAUGCUCUGUACACAGACAGUGGGGAGGCUGAUGAGAGACCCCGCUGAAGCUGGAGCUCCUGGGGGCAACAUGCUCAGUUAAGGGGUGGACCAGAAAUAAACUUGCCCCAUCCCUGGGAAAUGUAACGAAACUGCCUCUCUCAAGUCGUGGGCAUGCUGGAAGGGAGAAAAAGCCUCCUUGAGUAUUCUUAGCACAAGCCAGGUCUUGCAUGGCUUCAUGCAAUCUAGGUCACCCAGCUCCUCAAACUGAAUAGUUUAAAGUUCUUUGGGGUCGGUGGUUGCCCAGGAGCCUGGCAUAGGCAAGAGGAAAUUCUCUCUGACAGAAACCAUUUUUGACCCAGGUGCAAAAAAUUGCCAAAAAUAAUGUUUCAAAAGAUGAGCUCAUAUAAAAAAAUCCCCCAAAUACAUAUGAAUAUAUACAAGAUGUCGAUGUCACAAUGCAUUACCGUAUUAACAAAUCCUGAUGGCUCGAUCUUUAACACAUAUGCACAGUCUUACAACCUCCACCGUCAGCUCCCUGACCCUAGUUCAAAUCAUCACAGUCUCUCACCUGAACCGUAUGUUCAGGUUCACAAUUCUAGAUACAUAAUAUAGGAACAAAGAAGUCUAAGGCAUGAUCUUAAAAACACAGUCAUAUAACAGCGUCAAAAAUACAGAGCUAUAGGGGCUGGCCCCGUGGCUAUACAUCUAAUAAAAGAUGUGCGAGGCCUUCACAUAGAAAAUUACAAAAUAUUUCAAAGAUAAAAAAUAAGUGUAGAGCUGGAACACAUUACGAAGUGGUUAACUCAAUAUUGGAAUAAUGCAAAUUCUCCUAAAAUCUAUAAAUUCAAUGCAAUGGAAAUAAAAAGCACAAGAGAUUUAUUUUUAAUGUUCCCUUUUGUAUGUAUGUGGGUAGGUAUAUAACUAGACAAGCUAUUUAAAAUUCAUGUGGAAGUACAGAGAACUAAAAGUAGCAAGGGUUAUCUUGAUAAAAAAUUGGGUUGGGAGGAGAGAAAUUUACCUAAUCAGAUAUCAAGAUUAUUAUGUAGCUAUAUCAAUGAAAACAGUGGAGUAUGAGUCAGGGAUAAAAAAGGACAGGGAGCACACGUGUGGUUUAUGGCAGGGAGAGACUGUGAAACAGUAAAGAAAAGAUAGACUUUUUAAACAAUGAUCCUGGAACACUUGGUUAUCUGUAAGGAAAACCAAUCAACUUGGCUCUCUUCCUCACAGCUUGUGUGAAAAUCAAUUGCAGGUGACAUGAAGACUUAAGAGAGAAAGGCAACACUUUACACUCAUGGGGAAAAAAAUAGGAGAAUACCUUUAUGACCAUGAGAUAGGAAGACAUUUUUUUAAAUAAGGCCUAAAAUGACAAACCAUAAAGGAAAGACUUGGUAAAUAUCAACUACAUUAAAGUUAAGUACUUCUGUAUGUUGAAGGAUGCCAUAAAGACUGUGAAAAGAUAGGCCACCAAUUGGGAGAAGAUACUUGCAACAAAUACAACUGACAAAAGUUUAAUACAUAUUCAGAAUAUAUAAUGAAAUUCUAUAAACAAAAAAAGGAAAAAGGGUCAAACUUUGAACAGACAUUACAAAAGAGAAAAUAUAUCAAUAAACUUGGAAAAUAUCAACUUAUUUAGUAGUAAGAAAAAUGCAAAUUAAAACUACAAUAGUAUUUCAUGCCUACUAGAAAAGCAAAAAUUAAAAAUUCUGAGAAUAACAAGUAUCAGUGAUGCUUUUAACAUUUACACACCACUGGUGGAAAUUUAAAUUGGUGCAACCACUUCGGAAAAUAAUUUGGCAUUUUCUAAUAAAUUUGAAGAUUCACAAGACCUGUGAUUGCACUUCUCUCCUAGGAAUAAACUUGGAGGAACUCUUGCAUGUAUGCACCAAAGACCCAUGCAUGUUCAUAGCAGCACUGUUUAGUGACAGCAAAAAUCUGGAAAUAGUCCAAAUGUCCACAAUCGUAGAAUGAAAUUUAAGUUGUGGCAUAUUCACUCAAUACAAUUUUGCAUAGCAAUGAAACAAGUGAACUAUAAACACAUGCAAGAACAUGGAUAAAUCCCAAGACGCAACAUUGAUUUUUAAAAGUUGCAGAAUAUAGUAUGAGUCCACUUAUAUAAAGUUCAAAUAUGGGUAAAACCAAACUAUGUUUUCUGGAGAAAUAAAUAUGAAAGGUAAAAUCUUAUGGAAAAGCAAGGUGAUGAUUAAUGCAAAAAUCAGGAUGUCAGUUCUCUCUGAGAGGGAGGAGCCUGCAAAGGACGGCCAGCGAAGGAUGAACCACUUUCCAUAAACCAGGUGCAUGGUAUCGGUAUUCAUUUAUCUCACACAUGUUUUACAUAUUUGUAUCUUUCCUUUGGAAACUGCUUUCAGAUAGUAUAUAUUCCUCAAAACAGUGAAUUUCCGUUAGCAUAUUUCAAACUUUUAUAAGCAAUUGGG
rnacentral:lncRNA from 1 species